GUGAAGUCAUGACAUCUGUCUCUGGGGUGAUUGUCAGGAUCAAAUGAGAAGAAACCCCUGUGUGGCUGUGUCCAGGUGCCAGAGAUGGUGGUUUCUGCUGAGCUGAGCUUGAAGGUGGGGAGGGACCUCACCAGAAAGAAGUGAGGCGGUUGCAGGUGAGGGGAUCAGCUAAGUCUUAGAGAGCAAUGCUGGCCAGAGUCCAGAGAAGGGCAGGGCUGCCCAACCACUUACCCCACAGGAGCGAGUCCCCAAAGCACUUCCUGUCUUGGAGCUCCUGCUCUUGGACUCAUUAUUUUUAAAGCUUUUUGGGGUCCUUAACGCUUUCUUUUUUUAAGUUUAUUGAUUUGUUUUGACACAGAGAGAGAGAGAGCGCGCGCGCAUGAGCACGAGCAGGGGAGGGGCAAAGAGAGAGAAUCCCAAGCAGGCUCCAUGCUGUCUGCGCAAGCCCAACAUGGGCCUCGAUCUCACAAAAGAGUUUACUCCGGUCCCUCCCCCAGAGGAGUUCCCAGGCCAGUGGAAGGUGCACCACAAAUCCCAAAUCACAAUAUAAAAGUAUGCAGCGGCAUAAAUCAGUCCAGAGGCUCCUCAAGAGGAAGUCAGAGGAUUCUCAGCAGAGGAGCUGAAUUUGAAGCAGGAAAUGAUGAAGAGAAGUCAGCAGGAGAACAGAGAGGAAGUGAAGAAGGGCUUUCUGUAGAUAAGGGAGAGGAAGAUGAGCUUCCCAUAAUCACAAGCAAAUGAUAUCAGACCUUCUGAGUGUUAACAACACUGAGCGAAAACAGUGACUUUCUCUUUAAACGUGUAUCUGAAUAUCCUUUCAGGUACGUACUUUGCACGCUAUAAUUCCUCUUGUUUGCAAAAUGUAUAUUUGAAUCUCUU